AUUAGUUAAUCAAUGUGCUCUAGUGGUGAUGUUAAACAAAACAAAGUUUCAAUAAAAAAAAAUAUUUAAUAUGUAAUUUUAUUUUGAAAAAAAAUCUUAAAGUAAUUACAAACUCAGGAUAGUACAUUGAAGAGAUAAAUUUCUUAGUUUUUCAUUAUCAAGCAAUUUGAUUGAGAAAUCAUUAUUGUGAUUUAUUUCUUGUAGCAACUAAGUGAUUUAGCUCUUUCAGUGUCUUCAACACUUGUUUUUAAAGGUAAAUUAAUAAUGUUUUCUUUUUCCAAGAUCUGACGCCAUAUAACCGUAAAUAAAAUGUGUUGAGUGCGUCGUUAAAUAAAACACUUCUUUCUUUCUUUUUCCAAGAACAGCAAUAUUAGUUAUUUAAUAAUAAAAAAGUUACUUUUUAAAAUAAUUUUAAAAGUUGAAAAUAAAAUGAUCUUGUUCAUAUGUAACUAUUUAAUAUUUGUGGUCUUUGUUUGUAUGUAAAAAUAGUUAACUGUGUGUACAUUGGAAAGCGAGUACACUUCAUUUUGUUAUAUAUCUAUCACCAGACAUUAAUAAUGAAAUUAUUUUAAGCAAUUAUGGACUAUUUACCAAUACUGCUGUAGGUUUUAAUACAAAACUACAGUAAUUAGGACAUGAAAUCAAAUAAAUCAUUGGCAUGUUCUUACUUUCCACUUCUGAUUCAAGCAUAUCUGGCUGGGCAGAAUUCUCCAUAUUUUCGAGGAGAUCUGUUCAGAAUAAAAUAUUUUGGUGCUUUUGAAUUUGAUACUUAAUUUACAUUUUGUCAUGUUUUUACCAUGAUCCUAAUUAUUGUUAUACACACUGGGUGAUUCAUAAGAAAACAUCUCACUUUCUGAACAGCGGGAAAGGUAGUGAACACUGAACAUUACAGAUUUUACCAUUAUCCUAAUUAUUGUUAUACACACUGGGUGAUUCAUAAGAAAACAUCUCACUUUCUGAACAGCGGGAAAGGUAGUGAACACUGAACAUUACAAAUUUGCACAAAGUCACUUUGUUAUGUUGUGCAAAUUGUCAAUGUCUUGUGUUGCUGUUGAACAGUGGACUUGUUUAUGAAUCACCUGGUUUUUCAUAAAAUGUUAUAAAAAUCAGCCUUCUACAUUGUGACCAGUUUGGUCACAUAUGCGACUAAAACGUUUCAUACUAUCUUUUUAAUAAAUACAAAUCGGUGCCAUCUGGCUCCUAGAUAGAAAAGUUAAUGUAGAGGGCUGAACAUUUUUACAAUCUUAUUUGAAAUAUAUAUAUAUAUACACACACACAGAGAAGGGAAUCAUGACUUAUAUAUAGGUAAUGAAGCACAAGUAGAAACCAAGGAUGAUCAAAAGCAAUUUUUGUCUUACCUUUAUGAAAUUAAAGGUGAGAUGUAGGUAUUAGUUUUCUGGCGGUGGUGGUGUCAACUUUUGAGAUAAAAGUUUCACAUUUACAUCAGUUUCUCACAAACUAUAAGUCAUAGGUCAAUGCAACUUGGUUUAUAGUUGCACCUAUGUGUGUUCAUCGCAGUGCAUGUGAAAAUAAUUAAACAAUUUGAAUUAAAUACUUUUUCAUUUAGCUAAAUGUUGAAGUUUUGUUUUUAAACUUCAUUUCUCACAAACUACAAGACAUAGAUAACCUUGGAUAACCUUUUUGAUGAUCUCUCUCAUACUCUUUAUGCACAUUUAAAACGGUAAAUUGAAGUAUAUAUUAAACCAUGCAUUUAAACAUUUACAAUAAUUCAUCACUUGUUUUUUUCUUUCUAUGAUGAGCGUUUCUUCAUUUUCGCUUAGAUCUGAUUUAUAAUCUGGAUCACACUGAAAUAUAGUUCUAGUUUAAUAUAAUUUUGUUUUCAGAUGGACAUCUUAUGGAUGCAACUAUCAGUAACAUUGAAUUAUUUUAUGGUAGGUGAGACAUUAAAUUCUGCAGAAUUCUUCUGAACAUUCAUAACCUGUAUUUGGUAUACAUAAAAAAGGUACUAAUUGUCUGGGGUUAUGUGAUGGGGCCAGGGGGUGAUAGUGUAGGAGCCAGUAAUUGUAAUGCUGUACCUCAUAAUAAGGUGGUUUAGAAAGUAGUUUGGAAGCACUUCCCCUUUUUUUCGUCAGUGGAUUUACCAAAGUUUCCCAAUUGUAAUGAUGUGUCGAAAGAUUCUAUAUAACUGUUAGUAGUGAUGUUGCAAUGAUAGAUUAAUAUGGGAAAUAUAUUGUUUGGUCUUUAUUAAUAUGAUGAUCGGUUAUAAAAAAUCAAUAAUCGAUUGUCGCUGGAAAUGAGUCCACAAUUUCACUGAUUGAAUUGAUGUAAAUAUGUUGUGGUUUGGGUUUGUUUUCAUGUGUAUGUAAGGAAAAAAUACUAGCAUUCCAUAUCAAAUCGAUGAAAAGCAGGGUGAAAUUAUACAUUAGCACCUUCAAUUUUGCUGAAACUUUUCUGUCCUGUUUUAUGAAUGUGAAACACUUUUGAUAUGAAAGUUUCAGGUCAAUAUGAUUUUAAUUUCCAGAGAUACAGGUCAUCGAAGUUUGACCAAACCGUGACCACCUUCUGACUUUUCGGAUGUUAUAACUCUUUGUUCUAAAUGAAAUAUAGAUGUGAUUUUGGUGUCAUUUUACAGAUUUUAUAUUUAUCAACCUUUGUAGAUCAUGAAAUGCACCAACAAAUAAGAAUAGAAACAUUCUUAAAAUUUUCAAUUUGAUCUUUGACCUGGCCUUGUUAUAAUCCUGUAACCUCUGAUUUCUGAGAUUUAUGGUUAUAUUAAAGCCAAUGUUUAGGAGUUUUGGUAUUUGAAAAGUUGUGAGAUGUAUAACAUCAGGUCAGGUCAAACUUUGAUGACCUAUAACUAUAGAAUACAAGAGCAGAUUGCUUUAAAAUUUAUACAGUAGCCAUAAGUCAUAAAUAUAAACUCGUACACAGAGUUUCAUCAAAGUUGUUGAUUGAUAUGGAAUCCCAUAUAUUGAAUAGGUUUUAAAUAUAAAAUAGCAGUUUGUGGUGUAUUUCCCGGUGAACACGACAAUAGAUGAAUAGUCCUACUCAUUCUAAUCUUUCUUCAGUUUAUAUAAUUUUAACUGAUUGUAUACUAGUAAUCAAAAGUUUUGAUCGGUUCAUACACGCCGUUUAUAACCUCUGAUGAAAUUCUAACAGAUUCCCAACAUUCAUAAUUCAUGGUGUACCUUUCCAGAGUUCCAUAUUUGUUGAUACUUCUGUUUUCUUGUCUUUUUUUAAAUGUCUCUCCCCCCCCCCCUCCCCAACUAGUGUAUGUGAAGAAAACUGUUAUUGCAGAUUUAUUUUUUCUGAUUUUUAUUUAACAAAACAUUUAACAUGCAUUAUGUUUGAAGAAAGACAUCUUGAAAAGUCCUUGAAUAUUGUUUCACGGUUAAUAAAUCUUGUAGUUUACAAAA
rnacentral:lncRNA from 1 species